GGUAUGAAUAAAGAGUAAAAAAAGCAUUUAUUACUUACAUACUUUGAUGUAAGUAAUAAAUGCUUUUUUUACUCUUUAUUCAUACAGUCCAUUUAU